ensembl:lincRNA
ACAGAGAGAGGGAGGGAGGCAAGGAGGGAAGGGAUGAUGGGAGGGACAGGAAGGGCAUGUGAAUAUGAGCCCAGCUCAGCCAACUGGAAAUCUCUGGACUUAAUGGCUAAGGAAGCCAUCUAAGAGCGGCUAAACCUACGAGCUGGUGUUGUGCUCUGUGAUUUCCAUACAUUGUCUCACGAAGGCUUCAUAACAAGUCUAGGAUAUACUCCCAUUACUGCCACCUCCAUCUCACACACAAAGAACCUGAAACUUGGAGAAAGUUGGAAAGUCAUCCCAAGGAAAUAUCCCAACCCUGCAGCCCUGUCUGCUGUCCGUAUACACUGCUUUUCCAGACAAUGGAAACAGGGUUUGUUUGUUUUGUUUUGUUGAUGUUAUUAAGAUUUUUCAAGGUUUUAUGUUCCAUUUCUCCAGUCCUAAGAAGAAGUGUCUAAGUGUUUAUACCAAUAUUUAAAAGACUGUAAAGUGAGGUCUGAUGAGAGGGCUCAGUGUUUAAGAGCAUUUACUGCUCAUAUAGAGGACCCGGGUUCAGUUCCCAACUUCCACAUGGCAGUCCACAACAGUCCUUAACUACAACUCUAGGGAAUCCUAUACCCUCUUCUGGUUCCAUGAGCACCAGGCAUGAACAUGGCAUACACAUAUAAUCCCUGAAUGCAAGGAAUUCCUCCCAGUGCAACAAUCUCAUUAGUCAUUGACAAGUGUGUGUGUGUGUGUGUGUGUGUGUCCUCUAUCAUCCCCUCCCUGAGGUUUUGGAGAGAAGAAGGCGGGAUGUCCACCUGCAGCUGUGAGGGGGUUUCCUAUACAAGUCUGCCUUGAGGAGAGCCUAGAAGAGACUUAGCUUUAGCACGCCUCGCCAAGGCCACUAGUGCCAGAGCCUGUGCCCCGCUGGAGUCUUUGGUCUAAAGGAGAGAGACCCCUUUCCUCACCGAUCUACCCUGGGGAACACCUUUGUGGUUAGCAUGUGCCGGUUUCUACUUUCCAUCAAGGUGCUGAAGAACAGACUGCCUGCAGAAUUAGCAAUCACUCCUGGGGACGAUCCAGAGCACGGAGAUGACCUGACAGAAUGACUGAUGUGGGUCUUGGGAGCAAUGGGACAGGUGCCAACUACAAAGCAGCCGAGGUGACUUCAGCCUCCGAGGAGGGCAUUUGAAACCUGGCACCAGAGAAAAAUCUUCGACUCUUGCUUUAAAUUAAAGGGGAACAUAAAAAAUGAUUACUAGCAGGGGUGGCAGAAGCAUUACCUAUGGGAAGCACCGCCAAUAUCUGCUAAUGAAUAAAUGUAAUUGAUCAAAACAGAUGACUUGAUGGAUCUUCCAAAUGUGCUUUUAGCAAAGUGGACAGUUUCUCAUUCAAAUGCAAACUCGCCCAGAUAAGACCUAAUAAUGGAGAUUUUGGAACAAUCCCAAAAAUCACUGAUGUGUCUCCCUCCACACAGCCCACCCCAUUCACAGAGCAAGAAAGCACCUUAAGUGCCUUGCUGCAACACAGUCAACCCAGACAGCAAUGCAUGCCAACACCGAUGCAUGCCGUCUGCAUGCCCGAGGAGACACUGGCACUUAUAGUGCAGCAAAGGAGCAGUUGCAUAUCACCCAGUUAACUAUUCCUCCUUACCUAGUCCUCCUCGAUCUAUGAAGAGCUGAACAGCCUUUCAAGUUCAAUGCAGUUGCUCAUAAAUUUAGACAUUAUUUAUGGAACAUUGUGAUCACAAGGGGAGUCAAAGACAACUAAGACCAGACCUGGUUCUCAAGAAAGAUGGCAGACUGGAGAGGAAGCAAAAGACACAGGGCGGUCUCAGCUCACCUGUUCGAACACAUCUCAGAUUCAGUUUUCUCUUCUAUCAGGGAAGGCAUUGGAUCCAACAGGCUCUCUAGGAACCAGGCUAGCUCAAAACUGGGAUUCCAAGCCCUUCCCUCUUCUCGGGGCUCCUGGGAAGCCUACAGACCCCAGAGUAGCCUUCUGGGAAAGAAGAGUGGUCAGCAAAGAGGACCAUUAGGCACCUCCUAGAAUAAAUUAGGUCCCCAGCAGGAGACGGAGGCUGGAGAAAAUGCAAGGUAACUUCAAAACAUUUGGGGAAGGACAUCCACACUAAGAAAUCUCAGGGGAAAUGGGGACUUCUGGAGCUUCUGCAGAGAGUACUAUUAGGGUGAUGCAAAAGACUCUGGAGGACCUGUGAGGACAGAGGACUGAAGACCAAGACUAAAGAAAGAUCCUGCCAAGGUCUAGGCAAGUGCGUCAUUCCACCACGCUCCUCCCCUCCCCCCGCCCACCCCCGCGCGACCCCAGGCACAGCCAUCAAGCUUAUUUUCAUAAACUCACCGAAACCCCAAAAUCACUUCGCGCGCUCUUGUUUUGUGUUCCACAGAUAGCUUUACGUGGGGGGGGGGCUUCCCAACUGCUUAGGGUUAAAAGGUCCACCAAGGUCCUCCAUGGCGGGGUACCAGCAGCCAGCAGGCUAGAUCAGCCAGGUACCUAGACUAGGGGUGUGCUUACCUGCGGAGAAGCUGUCUUCGUGGUCUGA